GCUGGGCGUGGUGGCUCACGCCUGUAAUCCCAGCACUUUGGGAGGCUGAGGCGGGUGGAUCACAUGAGGCCAGGAGUUCAAGACCAGCCUGGCCAACAUGGUGAAACCCCACCUCUA
rnacentral:SRP_RNA from 2 species